UUUCCCCUUCUUCAGGACAGGGGAAAGGGAAUGCCCAAUUCAGAGAGACAUGGGGGCAAGAAGGACGGGAGUGGGGGAGCUUCUGGAACUUUGCAGCCGUCAUCGGGAGGUGGCAGCGCCAACAGCAGAGAGCGUCACCGCCUGGUGUCGAAGCACAAGCGGCAUAAGUCCAAGCACUCCAGAGACAUGGGAUUGGUGACCCCCGAAGCAGCAUCCUUGGGUACAAUUAUCAAACCUUUGGUGGAGUAUGAUGAUAUCAGCUCUGAUUCCGACACCUUCUCUGAUGACAUGGCCUUCAAACUAGACAGAAGGGAGAAUGAUGAACGUCGUGGAACUGAUCGGAGCGACCGCCUGCACAAACAUCGUCACCACCAGCACAGGCGUUCCCGGGACUUACUAAAAACUAAACAGACCGAAAAAGAAAAAAACCAGGAAGUCUCCAGCAAGUUGGGAUCGAUGAAGGACCGGACAUCAGGAAGUUCAAAGCGUUCAAAUGAGGAGAAUGAUGAUUAUGGAAAGGUACAGAUAGCCAAAAACAGCAGCAAGGAAUCGAGGUCAUCCAAACUCCGUAAGGAGAAGACCCGCAAAGAACGUGAAUUGAAGUCUGGGCACAAAGACCGGAAUAAAAGUCAUCGUAAAAGGGAAACACCCAAAAGUUACAAAACAGCGGACAGCCCAAAACGGAGGUCCAGGAGUCCCCACAGGAAGUGGUCUGACAGCUCCAAACAAGACGAUAGCCCUUCAGGAGCUUCUUACGGCCAAGAUUAUGACCUUAGUCCCCCAAGAUCUCAUACCUCUAGCAAUUAUGAUUCUUACAAGAAAAGUCCUGGAAGUACCUCAAGAAGGCAGUCAAUUAGCCCACCUUACAAGGAGCCUUCGGCCUACCAGUCCAGCACCCGGUCACCCAGUCCCUACAGCAGAAGACAGAGAUCUGUGAGUCCUUAUGGCAGGAGACGGUCAUCCAGCUAUGAACGAAGUGGCUCUUACAGUGGGAGAUCACCUAGUCCCUAUGGUCGAAGGCGGUCCAGUAGCCCUUUCAUGAGCAAGAGGUCUCUGAGUCGGAGUCCACUCCCCAGUAGGAAAUCCAUGAAGUCUAGAAGUAGAAGUCCUGCGUAUUCAAGACACUCAUCUUCUCAUAGUAAAAAAAAGAGAUCUGGGUCACGCAGUCGUCAUUCCAGUAUCUCACCAGUUAGGCUUCCACUAAAUUCCAGCCUGGGAGCUGAACUCAGUAGGAAAAAGAAGGAAAGAGCAGCUGCUGCUGCUGCAGCAAAAAUGGAUGGAAAAGAAUCCAAAGGUUCACCUAUAUUUUUGACUAAAAAAGAGAACAGUUUGAUAGAGGCUAAAGAUUCAAGCGUGGAGUCUAAGAAGUUACCCAGAAGUGUAAAAUUGGAAAAAUCUGCCCCAGAUACUGAACUGGUGAAUGUAACACAUCUAAACACAGAGGUCAAAAAUUCUUUAGAUAUAGGGAAAGUAAAGUUGGAUGAGAACUCUGAUAAGCAUCCUGUUCUAAAAGAUUUGAAAGCACAGGGAACAAGAGACUCUAAACCUAUAGCACUGAAAGAGAAGAUUGUUACUCCAAAGGAGACAGAGACAUCGGAAAAGGAGACCCUGCCACCUUUCCCCACAAUUGCUACUCCCCCACCCCCUUUACCAACUACUAUCCCUCCACCUAAGACACCCCCUUUGCCACCUUUGCCUCCACUACCAGCUGUUUCACAGCAGCCACCUCUGCCUCCUCCCCAAGUAGCAUUUAGUCAGGUUCCUGCUUCCAGUACUUCAACUUUGCCUCCUUCUACUCACCCAAGGACAUCUGCUCUAUCCUCUCAGGCAAAUUCUCAGCCCCCUGUACAGGUUUUUGUGAAGACUCAAGUAUCUGUAACAGCUGCUAUUCCACACCUGAAAACUUCAACAUUGCCUCCACUGCCCCUCCCUCCCUUAUUACCUGGAGAUGAUGACAUGGACAGUCCAAAAGAAACUCUUCCUUCAAAACCAGUAAAGAAAGAAAAGGAACAGAGGACACGUCAUUUACUUACAGAUCUUCCUCUCCCUCCAGAGCUCCCUGGUGGAGAUCCAUCUCCCCCAGACUCUCCUGAACCAAAGGCUAUCUCACCACCUCAGCAACCAUAUAAAAAGAGACCAAAAAUUUGUUGUCCUCGUUAUGGAGAAAGAAGACAAACAGAAAGUGACUGGGGAAAACGCUGUGUUGACAAGUUUGACAUCAUUGGGAUUAUUGGAGAGGGAACCUAUGGCCAAGUAUAUAAAGCCAAGGACAAAGAUACAGGAGAACUAGUGGCUCUGAAGAAGGUGAGACUAGACAAUGAGAAAGAGGGCUUCCCAAUCACAGCCAUUCGUGAGAUCAAAAUUCUUCGUCAGUUAAUCCAUCAAAGUGUUGUUAACAUGAAGGAGAUUGUCACAGAUAAACAAGAUGCACUGGAUUUCAAGAAAGACAAAGGUGCUUUUUACCUUGUGUUUGAGUAUAUGGACCAUGACUUAAUGGGACUGCUCGAAUCUGGUUUGGUGCACUUUUCUGAGGACCAUAUCAAGUCGUUCAUGAAACAGCUAAUGGAAGGAUUGGAUUAUUGUCACAAAAAGAAUUUCCUGCAUCGGGAUAUUAAGUGUUCUAACAUUUUGCUGAACAACAGUGGGCAAAUCAAACUAGCAGAUUUUGGACUUGCUCGGCUCUAUAACUCUGAAGAGAGUCGUCCUUAUACAAACAAAGUCAUUACUCUAUGGUACCGACCUCCGGAACUACUGCUGGGGGAAGAGCGUUAUACACCAGCCAUAGAUGUUUGGAGCUGCGGAUGCAUCCUUGGGGAACUGUUCACAAAGAAGCCUAUUUUUCAAGCUAAUCUGGAACUGGCUCAGCUAGAACUGAUCAGCCGACUUUGUGGUAGCCCUUGUCCAGCUGUGUGGCCUGAUGUUAUAAAGCUGCCCUACUUCAACACCAUGAAGCCGAAGAAGCAAUAUAGAAGGCGUCUACGAGAAGAAUUUUCUUUCAUUCCUUCAGCAGCACUUGAUUUAUUGGACCACAUGCUGACACUGGAUCCUAGUAAACGUUGCACAGCUGAACAGACCCUACAGAGUGACUUCCUUAAAGAUGUUGACCUCAGCAAAAUGGCUCCCCCAGAUCUCCCUCACUGGCAAGAUUGCCAUGAAUUAUGGAGUAAGAAACGAAGACGUCAGCGACAAAGUGGUGUUGUGGUGGAAGAGCCACCUCCAUCCAAAGCUUCUCGGAAAGAAACUACCUCAGGGAUAAGUGCUGAGCCUGUGAAGAACAGCAGCCCAGCACCACCUCAACCUGCUCCCAGCAAGGUGGAGCCUGGAGCUGGGGAUGCAAUAGGCCUUGGUGACAUCACACAACAGCUGAAUCAAAGUGAAUUGGCAGUGUUAUUGAACCUGCUACAGAGCCAAACUGACUUGAGCAUCCCUCAAAUGGCACAGCUGCUUAAUAUCCACUCCAACCCAGAGAUGCAGCAGCAGCUGGAAGCCCUGAACCAAUCCAUUAGUGCCCUGACGGAAGCUGCUUCCCAGCAGCAGGACUCAGAGCCCGUAGCCCCAGAGGAGUCUUUAAAAGAAGCACCCCCUGCCCCAGUGGCCCUGCCUUCAGUAGAACAGACAACCCCUGAAGCUUCUAGCACACCAGCUGAUGUGCAGAAUAUGUUGGCAGUUCUCUUGAGUCAGCUGAUGAAAACCCAAGAGCCAGCAGGCAGCCUGGAGGAAAACAACAGUGACAAGAACAGUGGGCCACAGGGGCCCGGAAGAACUCCCACAAUGCCACAGGAGGAGGCAGCAGCAUGUCCUCCUCACAUUCUUCCACCAGAGAAGAGGCCCCCUGAGCCCCCCGGACCUCCACCGCCGCCACCUCCACCCCCUCUGGUUGAAGGCGAUCUUUCCAGCGGCCCCCAGGAGUUGAAUCCAGCCGUGACAGCCGCCUUGCUGCAACUUUUAUCCCAGCCUGAAGGAGAGCCUCCUGGCCACCUGCCACAUGAGCACCAGGCCUUGAGACCAAUGGAGUACUCCACCCGACCCCAUCCAAACAGGACUUACGGAAACACUGAUGGGCCUGAAACAGGGUUCAGUGCCACUGACACUGAUGAACGCAGUUCUGGUCCAGCCUUGACAGAAUCCUUGGUCCAGACCCUGGUGAAGAACAGGACCUUCUCAGGCUCUGUGAGCCACCUUGGGGAGUCCAGCAGUUACCAGGGCACAGGGUGGCAGCAACAGCAGGGAUGGCUCCCAAGGAAUUCGAUGACAUCCAUCAGUUACCUCACUUUGAGAGCCUGGCAAAGUCAGUCUCUUUCACAGAAUCUAAAGCCAGUUUCAAUGGGAGAUUUCACCUGUCCCAACAUUGUGUGAGACACCAGAAGUAAAGGCCUGCAAGCCUUUUCCUCCAUCCCUAAUGCCCAGACAGGGCAGGUCACCAGCCUCCAGCGCCCACCCAACCCUUCUCGUCUGCCGAUGAAACUAAGACCCAGAGAGGGAAAAUCAAUUGAAUGCUAUCCUGGAAUUGCUUUGUGUUCCUGGAUUUGCAGAAUUCCUGGGAACACAGGGAAAGGAAAGGGUCUUACCAUGUUGCCUGGGAUAGAGUGCCGUGGCUUCGUCAUAUCUCACAGCAACCUCAAACUCCUAUGCUCAAGUAAUCCUCCUGCCUUAGCCUCUCAUGUAGCUGGAACUACAGGUGUGCACCACCACGUCCAGCUAAUUUUUUGCUAUUUUUUGUAGAGAUAGGGUCUCACUUAUGCUCAGACUGGUCUCAAACUCCUGGCUUUAAGUAAUCAUGCUGCUUUGGCUUCCUAAAGUGCUAGGAUUAUAGGUGUGAACCGCCUACCUGGCCUCUAGGUGUUUUUCUAAGGAAUAGAACAGGGCCUCCUCCUCCCCAAUCCUAUCAGGCCUGCCUCCCACUUUCAGGUUGAAAGAUCUUUAGCCUGGAGUCAGAGCCUAUAGUCCAGAAGAAACUGAGCCUUUAAGGGUAAGAGGGGUAGACUUGAAAUGAGUGGAAGGUCUGAGAUAGCAGUACCCAGACUCUAGAGAAAAGAAAUUAGGCUCACUAUUGGCCUAGGUUUUAGCUUUCUUCCUUUCCCCUCAGUUUUUCCCACUCACUGGGGAGAGAUCUGGAUGUCUGAACCUCUCACCUUGACACCUUGAAGUUUGUUAGGUAGGUCCCUUCUCUGUAGCUGCCAAAGCUCUGGCGAAGGAGAGAAAAGGCAGAGAAAGGGGUAGACAGAUAUGGCAGUGACAUGGUGUCCAUAACCACCCAAGGAGAGAGGCCAAGGAGAAGAAACUGACCAGCAAGCAAGCCAAGAGAAGAUGCCUACUCCUGAAACAGCAUCCUUACCCCAUCCUCUUCUGCUCCCCGUCUCACAUGUUGACAAGGCUGUGUGACCAAGUGUGCCAGCUUUCCUGGCUGUGAUCCUGCUCUGCUGUGCAAGCAGCCCAGAACAGAGCACCUCCUGGGGUCUCUCAUACUCCUUUGCUCACUUUUCUUAAUGUAUCUGUGUUGCAGAUUCCUAGAAAUGAAGAAAGGGGCUAUGGCCCUGAAGUAGGAAGAUGAUGGUCUCUGGAGCCCGUUGGGUACCUAGCUCCUGGAGAAUGAAGGGAGGUAUAAGGCUGCUGGCAGCUCAGCCAAGCUCAAGGUUCUGGUGACUCACAGCAAUGGGGAUGGCUCCCCUGCCUGCUUCAAGGGCUCCCUAGGUAUUGGCAGGGGAGGAAAGCUGUGCCAGGAAUAAGGAAGGAAACAAUGGAAAGGAAUGGGGUCCAGGCCUGUUAGAGCUCUCUUUUGCCCCAUUUUUUCCUCUUCUGUGGACAAAGGUCUCACAUCUGGACUAUGGAAACAAGGGGACACUGGGCAUUCCUGGUGAGGAAAGGAUUGGAGAGGCCAGUUAUUCUUGUCCUGCUCUAUCCAUUGUCUGGACAAUCACACGUGUUGGGGCAGCUCAGUUCCUCCUGGCACCUUCCAGAGGAGGGGCUUUCUUGGAAGAUACAACUACUCCUCCUUGCCCUCCCUUGCCUACUCAGACUCUGGGUACCCAGUGAACACCACAGUUUUAGAAAUAAGAAAAACAAGCACUGUUACAAAACUAAAACCUGGUCUUAGUACUUUCCUCCCUAGAAACAGAUACCCGAUACAUGAGAGGAACAGGUAGGGACUCCUGGGUUGGCUGAUCCAAGGUGUUGGUACUGACUAGGAGGUAGGUGCAGAACCAUAGAUUUUCAAAAGUGCUGAUUCCCUCCUUCCUUAAAUGUCAUGUGGGCAAUGUACAUCUUCUUCAUUCUUUCUGAAUUGAGGAUAAUAGGAUACUGUGUGUUUGAGAUCACAACAGGAGAAAGGCCAGAAGGUUGACCAGGAGAACGAUUCAUGACUGUGACCACGGUCCCAGGGGCCUGUGACUAGAAAUGACAAAGAGAAAUAGGGAUAUUGAUGCUAGUGUAUCCAGACACAUAAUAUAAUAAACACUCCUACCUUUAACUUCAGAGAAGGAUGGGCUGAGUUCUGUGGCAGAGCCUGAGUUAUUAUUCACCUAUUUUUUUUUUCCUUGAGACAGAGCCUCACUUUGUCGCCUUUGGUAGAGUGUCUGUCAUCUGUUCCCUAGACUCUUCUUACUCUCCUCUCCUCCCAGCUCCCACCUGAGAGCCACCUUUAAUUGAACUCUUUCCGGUGAAUCUCACAGCAACCUCAAACUCUUGGGCUCAAGUGAUUCUCUUGCCUCAGCCUCCCAAAUAAUAAUAGCGCCUGACUAUUUUAUUGUAUUUAUUUCUUUUUUGAGAUGAGGUCUCACUCUGGCUCAGGCUGGUCAUAAACCCGUGAGCUCAGGUAAUUCACCUGCCUCAGCCUUCCAAGUUCUAGGAUUAUAGGCAUGAGCCACUGCAACCGGCCAUUAUUCAUCUAUUUCUGUCCCUUUCAUUUCUGGUAGCUCUGCUUGACUAUCAGGGUGAGAGGCCCUCUGCCCAGCUGCUCCUGGUGAUCCAGAGAUAAUUUUGGUUGGAGAAAGGGACAGACCAGCUGCUCUUCAUGCAGGGAGAUGAGAGCAGCACCACUCUCCCAGCUCUCCCUGGAAGCAUCAGAAGCUCAGGGUCUCCUGCUGAAACUCCCCAUAUAAAGCUCAGUCCUGAACUAAACCAACAUAUCAACUGGCCCUGGGUAUAAAAGUAGUACUGUGAGGGAACCUUGGGUACACCAGGUGGAAAGUAGGCAGUUAUGGGGCGAGUUCAGUUUCCGGAGAAAUGCAAGAAUCACUCUAAGAUACCACAGGCUCCCUAAUCCUCUUUUAUCUCCAUCUUUCUCUGCUUGCCUUUUCUUUCACCUCCUUUUAGCUACUUUAUCUUCUGACUACUUUAUCCCCUCCAGUCUGAGAGGAUAUGGUAGUUGUCUAUACUCUUUUUCACUCGCCUCCUCUCCUCCCAGCUCUCACCUGAGAGCUACCCCUACUUGAACUCUUUCCAGUAAUCACCAGGAUCCCUAGCCUCUGCUGCCCCAUGACCCUGAAAAUUCCACUGGAGUGGAGAGGACUCAUCAGUCUUCAUCCUUCCCCACAUAUAUACUCAGGCCAAGACUGAUGUGUCUGCUGCCAUAAGUAAAGGGCCAUACCCUGAAGCAGAGGGCAGCCCUAGGGGUGCCGUGGGGUCCUGGCACUAAAUGCGUGUAUGCCCGUGCAUUGGGCACACUGGUUUAUUAGUGUUAUUUCAGCAUUGUGAUGCAGAGAGAGUAAGUGUAACAGCUGCUCCUUGCUUGCAGUGUUUAUUGUUACCUAGAGACAACCUCCUGGCUUUUUCCCAGCUCCCCCCCCAGCCUAACCCCCUCCCUGCCAACAAUCCUGCUCUCCCCACACUGAUGGGAAAUUUAUAGCUUGCCCAUACCAUGCUUUUAACCCUCUCUUGUCCAUAGGGUAGAUGGGCCGAGGAAAGCCCAAAUGAGCAAUGGGCGUGCUUGGACCUGACAGGACAGAAUAAUGUGUGGAGGAAGGAGAGAGAAGUGACAUCCUUCCCCCUUCAUUGAAUGUGUCCAAUAUUAAGCCCCAGUUGCCCUCUUGUCUCUUAUGUAGGGAGAAAAGAAGAAGUACCUUUGGACUUAGCUUUGAGAUUCUGGAAGAGCUCCUUUAGACCUAGCCUUGGGAUCCUGGCAUCCUCUUUACAAAAUUAUUCUCUUCCUAGGUAUUUCUAAGUCUUGGAUUGGGUUGCCUUGGCCUGAGCAAAUAUAGCGAGGUAAUAUGGAUAUGGAGGGGUAAAUACAGGAUGGCAGAAUCUCUAGCCCACUUCUUUAUGUCUGAGACAGAGGUAGCUAUAGAGAUGUCAUAUUGAGACAAAAAAGCAGCUCUAGCUUGAAAGAUGCUGGCCAGACCUCCACAGCUGGGUAGAUGUCAAACAUGAAGCCUGCCGCUGAGCCUGGUGGAAAACUAUCCACCUUAACUUAGAGCCUGGCACGAAGGUCGUAAGAGACUCCCAGGACGUUCUCCAAGCUGGUCUUUUUGGUCCGAUUAGGCUACUCCUUUCUGCAUGUCCUUCCUGGCUCACUUUCUCCUGCAUAUCUUUUGGGUUGAUACCUUGGGACAGAUCGAAGAGACUGAAGAAACUGGGGUAUCCUAAUAAUGGCUUCAAGAAAGCUGAGGAAAGAGAAGCCCCCUCUGUGCCUUGACCAAAGACCUUUCAUGGAGAGGCACCAUAUCAUCUACUCACCAUCUUCAUUAGAAACAGAAGAGAUCAGGUUUUAGCAGCAUGUGGGAAAACUUACAGGAUGAAAAACUUUAGAAUGAGUCUGCUACUCUUUAGAGCAGUGGUUCUCAACCUGUGGGUCGUGACCCACAGGAACUGUAGUAAAGGGUCGUGGCAUUAGGAAGGUUGAGAACCACUGCUUUAGAGACUUUUCUUCUGCCUACAGUGGGUUUAAGUCUGUGUCUACCCAAGGAGUAUUGGAAGAACAGGGUUACUUUUCCAGGCCUCCUCCAGACAGCCUCAGCACACUUUCCGCAUAGUGCACCUCUCCUCAGUCCUUCUAAAUAUAGUAUGUGUGGUGGUCAGAUUAAAAGUUUCAAAGGCAGGCAGCUCUGGGUUUCAUUGCCAAUGUUGCCACUUACCAGUUAUACUACCUUGGUAAGUCACUUAAUCUCUUUGAGUCCUAGUUUCCUUGUCUGUGAAAUGCAGACAAACAACUACUACUUAAGGCUAUGAGAAUUUCGUGAAAUAAUGUGUGUAAAGCACCUAGGAUAGUGCUUGAUAGAUGCUCAGUCAACAGUGGUUGAUGCAGUAGGGCACUGCUACUUUUAUGAAGUCAUAUGAUUCCCCUAAGGUUAUAGGCUAACUGUGUGUAAGUACAGAUGCUGUCCAUCACAUAGAAUGUCCAUAGUUUACUAUGUGAUGUGGAGUGUAGGUGGCAGUCCCCUGGAAAGGAAGUAGCUCCAGUCACUUGAUUCAGACUCCCCAAGAAAUCAGUGCCCCCCAUUCUCAUGCCUCUCAAGCCAGGAGCACAUUAGCCACUGUUCUGCAUAGAAAUACAACUUCAUCCAGGAUGGAGCUGGGAAAGAUAGUCUUUUAGAUAACAACAACUGGUGCCAGCCACAUACACCAAGGCUGACGGGUUCAAAUCCGGCCCAGACCAACUAAACAAUGACAACUGCAACCAAAAAAAAAUAGCCAGGUGUUGUGGCGGGCACCUGUAAUCCCAGCUACUUGGGAGGCUGAGGCAAGAGAAUCGCUUAAGCCCAAGAGUUUGAGGUUGCUGUGAGCUGUGAUGCCACAGCACUCUACCGAGGGCAACAUAAUAAGACUCUGUCUCAAAAAAAAAAUAAAAGGCGGUGCCUGUGGCUCAGUGAGUAGGGCGCCGGCCCCAUAUGCCGGGGGUGGCGGGUUCAAACCCAGCCCCCGCCAAACUGCAACAAAAAGAAUAGCCGGGUGUUGUGGCGGGCGCCUGUAGUCCCAGCUGCUUGGGAGGCUGAGGCAAGAGAAUUGCGUAAGCACAAGAGUUAGAGGUUGCUGUGAGCCGUGUGAAGUCAUGGCACUCUACCCGAGGGCGGGACAGUGAGACUCUGUCUCUACAAAAAAAAAAAAAGAAGAAGAAAAUAGAUAACAACAACUAGCAUUUGCCAACCACUUUAUAGUUCGUCAAAUAUAUGUAGCUGCAUUAGCUCUUUUGAUGGCUGGCACAACCCAAUGAACAAAAGAUAACCAGGCACAGUGGCUCGUGCUUAUAAUCUCAGUACUUUGAGAGGCUGAGGAUUGCCAGGAGUUUGAGACCAGCCUGGGCAACAUAGUGAGAACUCGUCUUUACAAAAAAAUAAGAAAAAUUAGCCUGGCAUGGUGUUGCACACCUGUAGUCCAGCUACUCAGGAGGCCACUUGAGCCCAAGAGUUCAAAGCUGCAGUGAGCUCUGAUUGUGUCACUGUACUCCAACCUGGGCGACAUGGUGAGACACCCCCCCCAUCCUUAAAAAAACAAAGCAAAGGGCAGCGCCUGUGGCUCCAAGGGGUAGAGCACUGGCCCCAUAUAUGCCGGAGGUGGCGGGUUCAAACCCAGCCCCGGCCAAAAACUGCAAAAAAAAAAAAAAAAAACCAAAGCAAAAUGUCCCAGAGAACUAUUGCCUAU